UCCUCGUCGCCGCGCUUAUUGUAUAAACCCGUCCCUAUCCUAACUGGGAGAAUAUCGGUGACCGUAUUGUUAAUAUCUACUUUUCUAAACGCUCUCUGAGAGAACUGGAGAUCGAAAGAGAAAGUUAUACCUUUGUUUAUAUCUGUACAUAAGGGACGGAGACGCAAGGGGGAACUUCCUCAGCUGAGCCACAAAAGAGAAUCGUGCUCGGGACCGGCCGUUGGAGCAACUGCGAUUGUGGGCGUGCCGCCCCAGGGGGUCGCCGUCCAGCGCACGGCCCGGGAGUCGAGCCUGGGUUCCGAAGCGCCCUUGUUGAGGUCGUGUCUCGGGGGAUGAUGGGAUCGUGAGCGUCCAUGCGAGGCCAGGGAGAGAGGGAGGAGGUUCCGGCACGCCCCCCUCGCCGUCAGCGCCGUCAGUCGCUCCGCUUGCUCCUCCGUCAGCAGCUCAAGGCGCAGUCGAGCAAGAUGGCGGCCGCCUUCAGGAAGUUCUUUCGCUCGGGGGAGAAGCUGGUGGAGCCGCAGUACCAAGCGGCGAGGGGCCAGAACGGCGGGAACGGCAGCGCGCGAA